rnacentral:rRNA from 1 species
UACGGGGGGGGCAAGCGUUGUUCGGAAUUACUGGGCGUAAAGGGUGUGUAGGUGGCUAUGUAAGUCAGGUGUGAAAGCCCCGGGCUCAACCCGGGAAGUGCAUCUGAUACUGCGUAGCUUGAGUACCGAAGAGGAUAGUGGAAUUCCAGGUGUAGUGGUGAAAUACGUAGAUAUCUGGAGGAACACCGGUGGCGAAGGCGGCUAUCUGGUCGAGUACUGACACUGAGACACGAAAGCAUGGGGAUCAAACAGG